CCAUCUCUACCUAAAUCCCAAUAAUCGCUACUUACAAAUUAUUCUCUCUUGGAAGAAAAAGGAAAAUCACCAUCUAACCACUCUCUCAAAAAUCUUUUCAAUUACAACCCCGUGAAGCAACCCACCUGUAUAAUCACCAUCAAUCAACAUGUGUGGCGGUGCUAUCAUCUCAGACUUCAUCGCUCCGACAACCACCGCUCGAUCUUCUCGGCGGUUGACCUCGGGCUUUGAGUGGCUUGAGCUGAAGAAACCCUUCAACAACAAGCACUUGAAGCCAGUUGUUGCUGAUCCCGAAGAUGAUUUUGAGGCUGAUUUUCAAGAGUUUAAGGAUGAGUCUGAUGUCGACGAGGAUUAUGAUGUCUUUGCUGAUGCCAAGCCAUUUGCUUUCUCUGCUAGUGUUUCUGAACCUGCUCAAAAACGUGGGCUCCCUCGUGGUUCUACUGCUGUUAAAUCUGCUGGAUUCAGUGGACCUGCUGAAAAAUCAGCCAAGAGGAAGAGAAAGAACCAGUUUAGAGGAAUUAGGCAGCGUCCAUGGGGAAAAUGGGCUGCUGAGAUUCGUGAUCCCAGGAAAGGGGUACGUGUCUGGUUGGGAACAUUCAAUACUGCAGAAGAAGCUGCUAGAGCAUAUGAUUCUGAGGCACGUAGAAUUCGUGGCAAGAAAGCUAAGGUGAACUUCCCUGAUGAAGCUCCAUGUGCUUCAGCAAGGCAUCCAAUUAAGGAAAACUCACAGAAACGACUUACGAAGGCAAAUUUAAGCCAGGAUUUUAGUUACUUGAGCAACCCAGAAACGGAUUAUAAUAAUAUGGGCUUUGUGGAAGAGAAACCACAAGUGAGCCAGUUUGGAAUAAUGAAUUCUUUCCCGGCCAUUGGAGAUUCUGGGGUGACGCCCUUGACUCCUGACAAUGCUUCUAUGUAUUUCAAUUCUGACAAGGGGAGCAACUCAUUUGAUUGUGACUUUGGGUGGGGAGAACAAGGCCCUGAAAUCUUGUCUGUUCUUGCAGCAACUCCAGAAGUUGAUGAAUCCGUCUUUGUGGAUGCUAAUCCUAAGAAGUUGAAAUCAUACUCUGAGAAUGAAGUGCCUGUUGAAGAGAAGAAUGGGAAAUCUCUGUCCGAAGAGUUGCUGGCUUUUGACAAUCAGUUGAUGAACCUUCAGAUGCCAGAUCUUGUGGGUAACUGGGAGGCUUCUCUUGAUAGCUUCCUUAAUGGAGACACAACUCAGGAUGGCACAAACGCAGUGGACUUGUGGAGCUUCGAAGACUUCCCCUCCAUGGUUGGGGGAGUUUAUUGAGCCAACUUUUCUGUGCUUGCUAGGUUUUGUAAAUAAUAAGGCUACAUGUUAGAAUGGUUGUUUAUCUGAGAUGGGAAUGGAGUACAACACAGCUGAACAUGCUUAAAGCCUCGGUGUGGGAGAAGCGUUCUCAGGAGCUUUUUCCAUAUAAAAGUGGAAAGGUGAUGGUGCUUGUGAAGGGUCAUCAUCUUUUUCCCUGAUAGACAUUUUUAAACACAGAAGGACAUGGAUCAUCCAGGGCCAUCUCCUUCUCUUUGAAUGAUUCAUGUUGUUUUUAAAUUCAACUCCUGCCUGGUGACUUGAGCUCGGGACUCGGGAGAUUGAUCCAAUUUCCCGUCCACCGACUGCGUGGCACAUAGUAAAAGGUGAUAGUUUUCAGAAGGUUGUCGUGAUAUGCCGAUGUCCCAUCAUCUUCCAGCUUUAAAGCCGAGUAGCUCCAAAACUGAGGUGGCGGAUUAGAGGAGGGAUCUGGGAUGGGCCCCACUGUAAUAUUUUGGGAGAUCACAAUAUCUAGGAUUGCGAGCCCCCUCUCAGACUGUGAAGUCUGAAAUAGUAUAGUGGAAAAGAAAAUGCCAAAUAAAAUGGGAUUCGACGAUGCGUAAGGUGUCUCGUGACGUUUUUGUUUUUUUAGCAACAAGUUUUGAGCUGCAAAAGCUGUAGCAGCAUCGGCUAUUAAUCUCUCUAGCAUGUGCCACUGCUUUCCCAUUAGUGACUGCCGGGCUGAAAACUUCCGAACUGAGAACAGGAAGAGGUCCCACUGGCUCCUAUCUCUUGUUACGAAUGACUAAAAUGCGCAGGCGACGCGAAGGAGACCAAUUUUGAGAUCGCAUUUGAACAAUCAAAACCAUGACAGCUGCUGUUGAAGCUGAAUUGAACUAGUUUGAUAGGCUGAUACAGUGGCUCCUCUGUUUUGAUUAGUUGAUACCAGUUAUCUAGCUCGUGCCUAGCUGCGGGCAGGAUGUUUUA